GUGCUCACUAUGGCAGCACAUAUACUAAAAUUAGAAAGAUACAGAGAAGAUUAGCAUGGCCCCUGUGCAAGGAUGAACAUUUCUACACAGCAGAAAGCCUAAAAAGG